GCGGACAGCAUUUGGAGUGUCUCCCGCCAAAAGCAAAACACUCGGGACGACAGAAGUUUAACUCUGCUCUUCCUCCCAGCAGAGCUUCAGAAGUUCCUCAACUGUGAAUCAUUGUGAUGAUGUACAGCAGGAAUAGCCUCAUCUGGAAACCUUUGUGGUCCAGGCUGGGUUGUGAGGCACGGUCAACUCCUCAGAGACUAAUAAUGUUUGGUGUUUAUUGUCUCUGGAGAGCAAAAUUGGUCUGAAGCUGAAGAGAUAGUUCUUCAUGACUUAAGCAAUGAAG